rnacentral:rRNA from 1 species
UGAGGAAUAUUGGUCAAUGGUCGGGAGACUGAACCAGCCAAGCCGCGUGAGGGAGGAAGGUACAGAGUAUCGUAAACCUCUUUUGUCAGGGAACAAAGGCGGGGACGUGUCCCCGGAUGAGUGUACCUGAAGAAAAAGCAUCGGCUAACUCCGUGCCAGCAGCCGCGGUAAUACGGAGGAUGCGAGCGUUAUCCGGAUUUAUUGGGUUUAAAGGGUGCGCAGGCGGUCUGUUAAGUCAGCGGUCAAAGCCCGGGGCUCAACCCCGGCCCGCCGUUGAAACUGGCAGUCUCGAGUUGGAGAGAAGUAUGCGGAAUGCGCGGUGUAGCGGUGAAAUGCAUAGAUAUCGCGCAGAACUCCGAUUGCGAAGGCAGCAUGCCGGCUCCACACUGACGCUGAGGCACGAAAGCGUGGGUAUCGAACAGGAUUAGAUACCCUGGUAGU